rnacentral:rRNA from 1 species
AUUGAACGCUGGCGGCAGGCCUAACUCAUGCAAGUCGAGCGGAUGAGAGAAGCUUGCUUCUCGAUUCAGCGGCGGACGGGUGAGUAAUGCCUAGGAAUCUGCCUGGUAGUGGGGGACAACGUUUCGAAAGGAACGCUAAUACCGCAUACGUCCUACGGGAGAAAGCAGGGGACCUUCGGGCCUUGCGCUAUCAGAUGAGCCUAGGUCGGAUUAGCUAGUUGGUGAGGUAAUGGCGCACCAAGGCGACGAUCCGUAACUGGUCUGAGAGGAUGAUCAGUCACACUGAACUGAGACACGGUCCAGACUCCUACGGGAGGCAGCAGUGGGGAAUAUUGGACAAUGGGCGAAAGCCUGAUCCAGCCAUGCCGCGUGUGUGAAGAAGGUCUUCGGAUUGUAAAGCACUUUAAGUUGGGAGGAAGGGUUGUAGAUUAAUACUCUGCAAUUUUGACGUUACCGACAGAAUAAGCACCGGCUAACUCUGUGCCAGCCGCCGCCGUAACAC